ACCGACCAAAUCGUCCAGAUGAUAAGAAUUAACAUUCAAAUCGACAGAUUGAAGAAAUUGAUCAAAACCUAAAUUCUUAAUUUUGCUAAAAAAAGCGGACGGAAGAAUACCACGAACAUCAUUUAAUGUGGACAUAGAUCCAUUAAAACAACAACGUAACUGUACUAAUCAAUGAGCUGUGAUAAAAGAAUUUUGGAAAACAUUUCAAAAUCAACAAUACUAUUAAAUUGAUAUUAAUUGAAAUAAAAAAAUUUAAUUACUUACAAUUCAUAGCACCCUUAAGAAACACCCUUUAAAGAAUGUGUUUAAGAUAUGAACAUUGUUCUUCAAAAGAUAUUGAAUUUGUUUUCUUCAAUUUAUGUCCUGAUAAUAUAAAAUGGUUCACGAUUAAAAUUUUGAUUUUAGUAAAAUAUCCAAAAAUAAUAAAAUAAAUUAAAAGAAUCAGACAAUUCAAGAAAUAAAAUAAAAUAAAUAAUAAUACAAGACUAACUUUUAAUUGAUGUAGAUGGUUUAUCAAUAAUUGGAAUAGUUCCUCAAAAAAUUAGAGAAAUACUAAAUAAUACAAUUAUAUCUAGAAAGCAACAACUAUUAAGGAAGACCACAAAAAUACUUGAAGAAAAAUUAAAAAUAAUGUGUAAGUACAAAAAUUCACAAUAGAAGUAUAUAUUAAAUAUUAUUAAAUUAGUAGAAAAAAUAGUGAACUAAUUAUAUAUAAACAAUUUUAAAACAUUUAUUUUUAUAUAUAAUAAAUAGAAAUACAAUAAUUAUAACAUAAAUUUGUCAAUUACUAAAUCAAAUAGAAUCAGACAUAUUAGUGAAAGCAAUUGAAAAAUAUUGUUUAAAUAUUAGACAGAUACAUGUAAUCAUUACCAUCGUCAGACAUAGCAGCUAUAAAUGAUUUAAUCCGUUUCCACUUUUGUGGAAUAUUAGACAUACUAUGACUUUGUAGGGACACCAAUGGUUUCCCUACCGAUCUUACAAUCAAAGAGAUUGAUGAAUUCAUUAUUAGAAUAGUUCGAGGUUAAAGACAAAGGUUGAUUUGAUGAUUUUGUAAGAACAGAUACCAAAUCCAUAGAACGAGAACAACUAUAAUAAACAAACAAAAAAAUUGUUAGAAAAAAUUCUGUUCAUUAUAGUUCAUUAUAGUUAAGAAAAAAUAAGAUUAGAAAAAAUUAUAGUUAAAAUAGGAAAAAAAAAAGUAUAUCAAUUUAACCGAAAACAGUAAAUCAUUCAAAAAAAUGUGCAGAUCUGCGUAUUUGAAAAAACAUGGUUCCACAAAAAAAUAUAACAAAGAGAAAAACCAAAUAAUGAAAUAUAAAAACAAUAGAUGAUGUGGCGUACUGAUUGAGAUAAAACAUUGCGUUGAUGGGAUUAAAAAACUAAUUAUGAAAAAACAGGAUGACUUUUGUAGCCGAAAAACAUAGGAGGUCAGUUUACUACAUGGAUCAACAACAACUAAUCAAAUAAAAAAAAGAAUCCAAAAACUAAAAUACUAAUAAAUUAAGACAAAAAUGAUGAACAAAUAUAUUGUUGGCGUAUUAAUAGUACAUCGCUAAAUGUAUUCGAAUGACUAAAAAUUUAGUAUACCUUGGAAAGGUAGAGAUUCGACUAGAAAUCGUAAAUAGUAUUGACAACAAAAACUGCCGAUAACAGUUAACAAUCCUGUAAAAUGUAAUGCCUAGUUCUGAUUACUCAAAGAAGGGGAAUAAACGAAACAACUUGAAAACAUGACACCAAGACAGGAAAGAGACGACAGUGAAUGUAAGAAAUCAGUUUACCUUAGAUAGGUAGAGGAUCAAGUACCAAUCGAAAAUAGUAUUGAGUGCCAAUAACAGUUAACAACCAUGUUAAACGUAAUACCUAAUUCUGAUUAGUUAAACAAGGGGAAAAAACGGAGAACAUGAUAAACACUAAACGAAGAACAGGGAAAGAGAUGACAGCGAAAGUAAGAAAUUAGACUAACAUCGAUGAAAACUUACCGAUUGUAUGUAGCCACCAAACAAACGACGGAUAACGUCUAUGUUGAAAUCGAUCUAAACCAUGAAAAAUCCACAACAAAGUAGAAGAAGAUGAUCGUAGAAGCAAACUGCGGAAAAAUACAACCCAACAACCAAAAAAGAUGAAAACAGAAACCAACUACAACAUAGUCGCUAAUAAAAGACAGAAUCUCCAAGAGUGAAGCACCAUUAGAAACAAAAGGAGAAAAGAUGAUGAAAGGAAAGUGUGAAACAACGACAAUGUCGAAAUGGUCUGGAGGUCGAAGAUGGGACAAAGGUUAAAGGUUACAGAGGAUAGAAGGUUGAGGAUAGUAGAAGGGUUACGAAGGAUGAGGACGGAAGGAGUGCAUGUGAAGCAGGAACAAGAGGUACAAAAAGGUUUAAGGAAGUAGAAGAUAGGAGGAAGAAGACGAUGUCUUCGUUUCAUCGUAGAAAAUGUGAUACAAAAGGGUGGAUUAAAUAACAAGUUAUUAAGAUAGGAUGACAUAAUUGAUUUUGCUUUCUAGGUGGUGCAACAAGUUUCAGUAGGGGUGCUAGGGGAAUUAGUAUUACUAACUAUCUGGGUUUAGAAUUUAAUUAGAUACUUUAAUUAGGUUCGCAUGGUCAGAUGUGCACUCAUAAUAUAAAUAGAUGGAGAUUUCUAAUAAUUCACCACUUCUAAGUUCUAACUCACUCUACAACUAUUUGAGUAUCUCACCUUAUUUAGGGUAAUGAUGAUCACCUGCUUAACUCCCUCAAUGAUGUUCAAACACUCGCGGCAAGGACGCACCAACACAAUGUAGCA
rnacentral:lncRNA from 1 species